UACGGAGGGUGCAAACGUUGUCCGGAAUCACUGGGCGUAAAGCGCAUGUAGGUGGUUUGAUAAGUGAGCGAUUAAAGACCGACGCUUAACGUCGGGAAGGUUGCUUAUACUGUCAGACUUGAGGAUAGCAGGGGUAAGCGGAACUUUUGGUGUAGGAGUGAAAUCCGUAAGAUAUCAAAAGGAACACCAAUGGCGAAGGCAGCUUACUGGGCUAUAUCUGACACUGAGAUGCGAAAGUGUGGGGAGCGAACGGG
rnacentral:rRNA from 1 species